CGUUAAUUGAUCAGGACGUGCUUGCACUGAAUGAGAUUUUAACACGAAGUGAGUGGCGGACGGGUGAGUAACACGUGGGUAACCUGCCCAGAAGCAGGGGAUAACACCUGGAAACAGAUGCUAAUACCGUAUAACAGAGAAAACCGCCUGGUUUUCUUUUAAAAGAUGGCUCUGCUAUCACUUCUGGAUGGACCCGCGGCGCAUUAGCUAGUUGGUGAGGUAACGGCUCACCAAGGCGAUGAUGCGUAGCCGACCUGAGAGGGUAAUCGGCCACAUUGGGACUGAGACACGGCCCAGACUCCUACGGGAGGCAGCAGUAGGGAAUCUUCCACAAUGGACGCAAGUCUGAUGGAGCAACGCCGCGUGAGUGAAGAAGGGUUUCGGCUCGUAAAGCUCUGUUGUUAAAGAAGAACGUGGGUGAGAGUAACUGUUCACCCAGUGACGGUAUUUAACCAGAAAGCCACGGCUAACUACGUGCCAGCAGCCGCGGUAAUACGUAGGUGGCAAGCGUUAUCCGGAUUUAUUGGGCGUAAAG
rnacentral:rRNA from 1 species